GGAAAUAGAUACUUCACAAAGCACGUUGUCAAAACUCCUGGCGUGGACUUAGGCACUGUGAUGUAAUGCCUCUGUCCUAAAAAAAUAACAUACUCACAGCAGAACUAUAGAUACUGAUGCCCUGGGUUCCUAUUAGAUAUCUCUGAUUAUUGAUGAAGGAUAAACGCUCAUAAAGAUUAUAAUCAUCAUAUUAAUUAUUUAUGUUGUUAGUUGGGGGAAGUUGGGAUGAGAGGUGUUCUAUUCUGUUUGACUGUACUUUUGGGGGGUAAGUUCUUGCUUCUGGCCUCUAGCCAUACUUCCAGUAUAAUGGAACAAAAGAGUAAUUCCUGCUAGCAUUAGAAGAAUCCAUUAAGAAGAAUAAAAUACUAUCCACAAAGUUGUGAUUGACUUGGAUUUCACCCAGGCUCUCUGGGGAAAAAUCGCAGGCUUUCUCCAAAACUCAGAACAGCCUCUAUCCUAAAAACUGAGUCACGUUAAAUCGACUUAUGUGGUCAGCCCUGAGUAGAGGUUCCUUUAGGUUAAAAGGAUUCUAGUCAUAUAUGGGGUCCAGAAAAACUUGGCUGACAGCUGGCAGCUCUACAUAGUUGAGGGUUUAAAAAAUAUAUUCUAAUUUUAAAUUAAUAUAUACUUAUUAACACCUACUACAUGCCAAGCACUCAUUGUUCUAGAUAUUUCAUCUGUUGUAAUGGAGGUUUUUGUUUGUUGGUUGGUUUUCUGCAAACCCAUCUUUUGUUUAGAGAAUCAUAUCUCACCCAACCUCAGUCCAUGUUCCUGACCUCCUGGCUCCAGAAAAGGACAGUUGACCAAAUUAGGCCAAUGAAGAUAUUUCUGGAACUGCUGCUAAAGUUUGGGGAAAGAUGCUUUUAUGCAGCAGGGAAAGUUAAGACAGCAAGAUCUAACCCUAAAGAUGCUAGGAGCUAUGGGAAGGAAAGCAUAGUCAGGAUGUGGGGAGGUAGUGUCAUGGCACGUUCAUCUGAAUACCUGGAUCUAGCUGCACCUGAAGCAGCCGGAUCUGAUGGUAAUACAGAUUUGACAGUAAAAUGAAAUAAUACAUUCCUUUUAGUUGUUAAUUAAACCAUGUGGAUUGGGAUUUCUCGCACAUUUACAGGAAAAGUCCUGAUAUAUUUAUAUUUUCUUGAGUCCUUAUAAAGAAAAUACGCCAUAGGCAUCAUUCAUCCCUUCUGUACAAGGUGAGGAAGCAGAGACUUAAUGACAAGCAAUCUGCUGAGAUUCUGCCUCUUCAAGUGGAAGUGCUGGGACUCAUGCCUGAGCUUCUGUCACCGCAGCUCUUCUCACGUUAUCACUCACAGGCCCAGGACAAAGAUGCUCAACAGUCUUGGAUACAGGGAAGAGAGCAGAUACUCCAGGUCUUAGAAAUAAACCUGAUCUCAGAUUAGAAUCCAUGGUUCCUCGUUUAAGAAACUAAGGUUCUGGGGCCUCCCUGGUGGUACAGUGGUUAAGAAUCUGCCUGCCAAUGCAGGGGACACGGGUUCGAGCCCUGGUCCGGGAAGAUCCCACAAGCUGUGGAGCAACUACGCCCGUGCGCCACAACUACUGAGCCUGCGCUCUAGAGCCUGUGUGCCACAACUACUGAAGCCUGCGCGCCACAGCUACGGAAGCCCGCGUGCCUAGAGCCCGUGCUCCGGAGCAGGAGAGGCCACCGCAGUGAGAAGCCUGUGCUCCGCGACGAACAGUAGCCCCCGCUCGCCACAGCUGGAGCGGGCCUGUGCUCAGCAACACAGACACAAUGCAGCCAAAGAUAAAUGAAUAAAUAAAUAAAUAAAUAGAAAGUAAGAAAGAAACCAAGGUUCUGGAACUGCAAAACCUUAUCUGAAGAUGUGAUCAUUGCAACGGUAAUAAGGCAAUGGUAACAGCGCAAUAUAUUUUGUUAUGUAUUACAGAAACCCUAAACCAGCCCGUGAAUUAAAGUUGUACAAGUAGGGUAAUGCAGACAGUGGAAGCUGUAUGGCCAUCUGAAAGCCUGGGCAUUUACCCUGAGGAGCAUCUGUCAGCUGGCAUCACACAUGUCCCAGGAUAAACUGGGGCGAUCAGAUGAGCUGAUGAGGCCGCUGCAUCGCUCAGUGAUUAAGAAGCAGCAGCGAAAGCGUCUCCAUCCAAUGCCAUGGACACGAGAGGAGGCAAAAGACUGUGAAAACCAGGACUGAGCAGGCUAACAGCGCACACAGGUGGGCCAAAGACAGUGGACCGAAAGGCUAGGUUCAAAAAGCCAGCCUGAGAAAGGAGGGCCCGAGACAGGAACGAAGACCCAGAGUGCAAAGCCAAGAUGCA